CUAUCAGGUAGUAGUGGGUGUAGCGUACCUACUGGCCUACGACGGGUACGGGUUGUGAGAGCAAGAGCCCGGAGAUGGAUUCUGAGACACGAAUCCAGGCCCUACGGGGUGCAGCAGGCGCGAAAACUUUACAAUGCUGGCAACAGCGAUAAGGGAACCUCGAGUGCCAGGUUACAAAUCUGGCUGUCGAGAUGCCUAAAAAGCAUUUCAUAGCAAGGGCCGGGCAAGACCGGUGCCAGCCGCCGCGGUAACACCGGCGGCUCGAGUGGUAACCGUUAUUAUUGGGUCUAAAGGGUCUGUAGCCGGCCGGAUAAGUCUCUUGAGAAAUCUGGCAGCUUAACUGUCAGGCUUUCAGGAGAUACUGUCUGGCUCGAGGCCGGGAGAGGUGAGAGGUACUUCAGGGGUAGGGGUGAAAUCUUGUAAUCCUUGAAGGACCACCAGUGGCGAAGGCGUCUCACCAGAACGGACCUGACGGCAAGGGACGAAAGCUAGGGGCACGAACCGGAUUAGAUACCCGGGUAGUCCUAGCCGUAAACGAUACUCGCUAGGUGUCGGCCACGGUGCGACCGUUGUCGGUUGCCGUAGGGAAGCCGUGAAGCGAG
rnacentral:rRNA from 1 species